GAGAAGAGAAGUCAGAGUUGAGCUGGGGGAGGCUUCAGAGGCUCUGCAUGCCCAGGAGGCUUCUCUGAGACUGGGAAGGAGUGGAAACUCAGUAGCCCGUGGUCCUGGUUGCGCGCUCCCUCCCAUGUCUUCAUUAUCUGAUUUGGUAAAAUAUCUACAAGACGGGGGAGUCCGGGCUGCUUUCUUUGACACUGGUCAUCACUCCACACCUAGACGCUAUGUCCAUGUCUGGAAGAUGCUUUUAAGGAAGUUUUGAUGCAGAGAAGAGUGGCCGGUGCUCUUCCUCGCGUGCCACCAUCUGCUUACUUCCAGAAGCUAAUUAUUUUCAUGUGACUGAUGUGACUAAUAUUUUUUAACGCCUGCAGAAGGUGAAGGAGCCUAUGAAGAUCAACAAGGAGAAUUUCCAAGAGUCAUGUCAGCCUCCAGUAUCACCUCAACACAUCCAACUUCCUUCUUGUUGAUGGGGAUUCCAGGCCUGGAGCACCUGCACAUCUGGAUCUCCAUCCCCUUCUCAGCAUAUACACUGGCCCUGCUUGGAAACUGCACCCUCCUUCUCAUCAUCCAGGCUGAUGCAGCCCUCCAUGAGCCCAUAUACCUCUUUCUGGCCAUGUUGGCAGCCAUCGACCUGGUCCUUUCCUCCUCAGCAUUGCCCAAAAUGCUUGCCAUAUUCUGGUUCAGGGAUCGGGAGAUCAACUUUUUUGCCUGUCUGGUCCAGAUGUUCUUCCUUCACUCCUUCUCCAUCAUGGAGUCAGCAGUGCUGCUGGCCAUGGCCUUUGACCGCUAUGUGGCCAUCUGCAAGCCACUGCACUACACCACGGUCCUGACUGGGUCCCUCAUCACCAAGAUUGGCAUGGCUGCUGUGGCCCGGGCUGUGACACUAAUGACUCCACUCCCCUUCCUGCUGAGAUGUUUCCACUACUGCCGAGGCCCAGUGAUUGCCCGCUGCUACUGUGAACACAUGGCUGUGGUCAGGCUGGCUGUGGGAACACUAGCUUCAACAAUAUCUAUGGCAUUGCUGUGGCCAUGUUUAUUGGAGUGUUGGAUCUAUUCUUUAUCAUCCUAUCUUAUAUCUUUAUCCUUCAGGCAGUUCUACAACUCUCCUCUCAGGAGGCCCGCUACAAAGCAUUUGGGACAUGUGUCUCUCACAUAGGUGCCAUCUUAGCCUUCUACACACCUUCAGUCAUCUCUUCAGUCAUGCACCGUGUGGCCCGCUGUGCUGCGCCACACGUCCACAUUCUCCUCGCCAAUUUCUAUCUGCUCUUCCCACCCAUGGUCAAUCCCAUCAUCUACGGCGUUAAGACCAAGCAGAUCCGUGACAGUCUUGGGAGUAUUCCCGAGAAAGGAUGUGUGAAUAGAGAGUGAGGAAUAAGUGGAAAAAGAGUGGGGCACAGUGAAUGCUGUAGUGGGCCAGGGCUGUGCUGAGAGUAGAUGGGUGCUAGACUCCACGUUUAGUUCUUUUCUUGUAUUAUGGAAAGAAUAAAUGAUGUCCUGAAGCUCAGUGCCAACAGUCUGUUUAGAAUUUGUGGGUCUUUGCCCUCUGGUAGCCUCUGGAUUGAACCUGGUGACUGUGCUGUCUCCUCACAGAGCCCUGACUCCUGUCAGUAAACUUGACAGAGUCUUGACCCUCCGGCCUCAUGGUGACUUUGCUGAAGGACACAAAGAUGCUUCCAAGUUCAUUUGCCUAAGAGAAGACUGUGAAAAUCUGAAUUUCCAUCUCUGACUUGUUGGAAAUUUGGUGAAUUAUCCACUCAGAUUCCCGAGUUAGGACCUCUACUCCAUCCAGUGCAGGAGUUCUGCUACAUUCUAACAGUUGAACCCUAGACUCUACCUAAACACUGUCAGUGCUGGUGCACAUGCAUCCUUUAGGCCUAUUUAUUCCAAGUGAGACAGCUCUGCUUGUUAGAAGGUUAUUUCUUCAACUAAGCCAGUCUGUAUUCUUUGACUUCUUUUUACCUCCUCAUCCUCAUGGCUAUUCCAUCUCAUUAAAUACUUUGAAGAAAAACCA
rnacentral:lncRNA from 1 species